CCCAUUUCUUCGGAAAGUAAGAUCCCUGAAAGAUGAUCAGGUAGAUAGGUUUGGAGUGGAAGUGUAGCGAUACAUGGAGCGGACAAAUACUAAUCGAUCGAGGACUUAACCAAAA
rnacentral:rRNA from 1 species